CAGGCUUAACACAUGCAAGUCGAGGGGCAGCACUUCAGUUUGCUUGCAAACUGGAGAUGGCGACCGGCGCACGGGUGAGUAACACGUAUCCAACCUGCCGAUAACUCGGGGAUAGCCUUUCGAAAGAAAGAUUAAUACCCGAUGGUAUAAUCAGACCGCAUGGUCUUGUUAUUAAAGAAUUUCGGUUAUCGAUGGGGAUGCGUUCCAUUAGGCAGUUGGUGAGGUAACGGCUCACCAAACCUUCGAUGGAUAGGGGUUCUGAGAGGAAGGUCCCCCACAUUGGAACUGAGACACGGUCCAAACUCCUACGGGAGGCAGCAGUGAGGAAUAUUGGUCAAUGGGCGCAGGCCUGAACCAGCCAAGUAGCGUGAAGGAUGACUGCCCUAUGGGUUGUAAACUUCUUUUAUAUGGGAAUAAAGUUUUCCACGUGUGGAAUUUUGUAUGUACCAUAUGAAUAAGGAUCGGCUAACUCCGUGCCAGCAGCCGCGGUAAUACGGAGGAUCCGAGCGUUAUCCGGAUUUAUUGGGUUUAAAGGGAGCGUAGGUGGACAGUUAAGUCAGCUGUGAAAGUUUGCGGCUCAACCGUAAAAUUGCAGUUGAUACUGGCUGUCUUGAGUACAGUAGAGGUGGGCGGAAUUCGUGGUGUAGCGGUGAAAUGCUUAGAUAUCACGAAGAACUCCGAUUGCGAAGGCAGCUCACUGGACUGCAACUGACACUGAUGCUCGAAAGUGUGGGUAUCAAACAGGAUUAGAUACCCUGGUAGUCCACACAGUAAACGAUGAAUACUCGCUGUUUGCGAUAUACAGUAAGCGGCCAAGCGAAAGCAUUAAGUAUUCCACCUGGGGAGUACGCCGGCAACGGUGAAACUCAAAGGAAUUGACGGGGGCCCGCACAAGCGGAGGAACAUGUGGUUUAAUUCGAUGAUACGCGAGGAACCUUACCCGGGCUUAAAUUGCAUUUGAAUAUAUUGGAAACAGUAUAGCCGUAAGGCAAAUGUGAAGGUGCUGCAUGGUUGUCGUCAGCUCGUGCCGUGAGGUGUCGGCUUAAGUGCCAUAACGAGCGCAACCCUUAUCUUUAGUUACUAACAGGUCAUGCUGAGGACUCUAGAGAGACUGCCGUCGUAAGAUGUGAGGAAGGUGGGGAUGACGUCAAAUCAGCACGGCCCUUACGUCCGGGGCUACACACGUGUUACAAUGGGGGGUACAGAAGGCAGCUACCUGGUGACAGGAUGCUAAUCCCAAAAGCCUCUCUCAGUUCGGAUCGAAGUCUGCAACCCGACUUCGUGAAGCUGGAUUCGCUAGUAAUCGCGCAUCAGCCAUGGCGCGGUGAAUACGUUCCCGGGCCUUGUACACACCGCCCGUCAAGCCAUGAAAGCCGGGGGUACCUGAAGUACGUAACCGCAAGGAGCGUCCUAGGGUAAAACUGGUAAUUGGGGCUAAGA
rnacentral:rRNA from 1 species